UCGCAGGCAGGUUUGCCAGUGAAAGAUGCAGAGGCGGAGUGUAGAGCCUGUGUGAUUGGCAGACCCUUGCUCCCUCCCUUCCAGACGUAGACUGAGUUCUUUGCUAACACCUAUUGCUAUUUCCUUUGGAUCCAGGAACCGUCUCCUUUCUCCUUUAGCAGGAAGAAGCUGGAUGGUCGCAUUUCAUACAGAAACUGGGACGGAUCAGUGCAGAACACAGGCAUCGUCUAUCAAGGGGACCAGCAGUCAGCAGUUCGGCGGAGUGAAGAAGCCCUUCUGUGCCUCCCUCCGCAAAAACAGCAACAACAACGAAAAUGCAAAAGAAUUAACCUACCAGUAUUUGUAAAUCCCAGACAAUCCGAAUAGUAUCUAUUUCUUUCGCGUCUCAGUUAGGUAGAGGGAAAUGAAGGAGAAAGGAGGAAUCAGCACCUUCUUCCCUCCCUGAGCCUAAAUACUACUGUGCUGUGAGUGGGGAGGAAUGUUUAAAAUUAAAUUGGAUUAUGAUAAAGCCAAAUUGAUUCAAACCUGGGACAGAAUCUCCUCUGGGUAGGAAAUAUGCUCUCCUGAUAAAAUGCGUAAGCAGUUUUCUGAUCCACUGUAAUAAAAUGAAACUUCUGGAAAGCUAGCUACUUACUUGCUUAUGGUGGUACAUAUCUGUAAUCCCUGGGAAGCUGAGGCAGGAGGAUCACAAGUGUGAGCACAGUCUGGGCAGUACAAAUACCGCAGGUUCAAUUUCCAGUGCUGCAAAGACAAAUACAUUUUUUUUUUAAUUUAGGGGAAGAAAUGUUGAUGAAGUAAUUUUGGUUGUCCCUGAAAUCAGUUGUAUCUUAAUAUAAAGUUUGUGAGGAAUCACUCUUAACUGACCCUUUGUGGCGAUAAAUUAGAUUUACAGGUGAUACCUCCUCAGUUCAAAUGUCAUUUGGACAAAGAAACUAUAGUUUUUCCACGCCAUGUUGGAACUUAGGACGCUGGGAAACCAAGCGAACAGCUCCCCUCCCUGGUAAGUGGCUGUGGUGUGACAGGCUGCGGCCACCCCAGGGGGAGAACCACCAGUCUCUCCUGAGAUCUGCACCAUGUUGGAACUUAGGACACUGGGAAACCAAGCAACCAGCUGGUAAGCAACAGUGAGCCUACUGGUGCACGGCCUAGAGUCAAACAUCCCACUUCCCCUGCCCGCUCUUAGCAAAUGGGAACCAGAGAUCUGAGCAUCUCUUGGGAGGUUGACCAUAUGCAAUAUAGCACAUAAGGGGGAUUUCCUUCUACCAUCUCUUUGAAGGCAAAUAUUUUUACUAAUGUUUUGCUUUAUUCUGAUUAAUGGUAUUGCUCUAUUCAAUAUUCUGUUUUGAUAAGUUCUAUAAUGUUCUGUAUUUCAUUUUAUUUUGAUAUAUGUGAUUGAAAGAACAACCAUUGUGACGAUAACGAGAUAUACUGUGGUACCUAUUACUGUUAUUCUGGUAACCUGCUGUGAAGUUCUGUACCAGUGUCACUAUACUGUCUCACUUGGAUUUGUUCUGUCUUGUUCUGUGGUAUUUUACUACCUUCAAAAUAAAAAAAUAAAAAUAAAAAAAGAAA